rnacentral:misc_RNA from 1 species
CUUUAGCGAUUGGGGUGAAAAUCCUUUUUGAGGCUUUUGCACCUCAAAAAGAUUUUUACUAUAAUUUUAU